GACGAACGCUGGCGGCGUGCUUAACACAUGCAAGUCGAACGGAAAGGCCCUGCUUUUGUGGGGUUCUCGAGUGGCGAUCGGGUGAGUAACACGAGAGUAACCUGCCCUUGACUUUGGGAUAACUUCAGGAAACUGGGGCUAAUACCGGAUAGGAGCUCCUGCUGCAUGGUGGGGGUUGGAACGUUUGGGCGGGUGGGGAUGGACUCGCGGCUUAUCAGCUUGUUGGUGGGGUAGUGGCUUGCCAAGGAUUUGACCGGUAGCCGGCCUGAGUGGGUGACCGGCCACACUGAGACUGAGGUACGGCACAGACUCCUACGGGAGGAAGAAGUGGGCAAUCUUGCACCAUGGGCAGAAGCCUGAUGAAGAAGCGCCGCGUGCGGGAUAACGGCCUUCGGGUUGUAGACCGGUUUCGCCUGUAACGAAGCGUGAGUGGCGGUAAUGGGUAGAGAAGCCCCCGCUUACUACGUG
rnacentral:rRNA from 1 species